rnacentral:rRNA from 1 species
UGCCAGCCGCCGCGGUAAUACGAAGGGGGCUACCGUUGUUCGGAAUUACUGGGCGUAAAGAGCGUGUAGGCGGCUAAAUAAGUCUGAUGUGAAAGCCCGGGGCUUAACCCCGGAAGUGCAUUGGAAACUGUUUAGCUAGAGGAUGAGAGAGGAAGGUGGAAUUCCAGGUGUAGGGGUGAAAUCCGUAGAUAUCUGGAGGAACAUCAGAAGCGAAGGCGGCCUUCUGGCUCAUUUCUGACGCUGAGACGCGAAAGCGUGGGUAGCAAACAGGAUUAGAUA